rnacentral:tRNA from 3 species
AGUUCAAUCCGGGUGUCGCCU